UUAAAUAUUAUUGGUGGCCUAGGGAAGGGUUUCGCCUGCCUUACCCUAGAGCCGCCCUUGGUAAAGAGGCGAGCAAUUUCCGAGUGUAAUCAGAUCUUAAGAUGACAAUUUCUUACUCUCCUUGCUUUCGACCCCUGAAAGUUUUCCCUAGAAGCAAUCUUAUUCGUUCAAGCGGCACUCAGACCUUCAAACGAUACAAUGUAGUGGCAUGUACGAAAAAAUCAAAUGAAGAUAUCAGUCUUGGAGCAAAGGUUGAUUUCUUACUAGAUAAUGUCAAAUGGGAUGACAAAGGCCUGGCAGUUGCAAUAGCCCAAAAUGUUGAUACAGGAGCAGUCUUAAUGCAAGGGUUUGCCAACAGAGAAGCUCUGUCAACAACCAUCUCAUCACGUAAAGCAACAUUUUAUAGCCGGUCGCGGUCAUCUUUAUGGACAAAAGGAGAGACCUCCAAUAAUUUUAUCAAUGUUUUUGAUGUCUUUCUGGAUUGUGAUCGUGAUUCUAUAAUAUAUCUUGGGAAGCCUGAUGGCCCAACAUGCCACACGGGGUCAGAGACAUGUUAUUACACCUCAGUUGAUGAAAUCCUGAAAAAUCCCGAGGUUGAGAAAAAUGAGCUGGCUAUGACGACUUUAUACGCAUUAGAAUCUACAAUCAACAAAAGGAAAGCAGAAACAUCUAGUUCUUCAAGUGGAAAACCCUCGUGGACAAAGCGAUUGUUGCUUGAUGACAAGUUGCUUUGCUCCAAAAUUCGGGAGGAGGCUGACGAGUUAUGCCGAACUCUGGAAGAAAAUGAGGAUAAAGGACGGACUGCCUCAGAGAUGGCAGAUGUCUUGUAUCAUGCCAUGGUUUUGCUUUCUCUUAGAGGAGUAAAAAUCGAGGAAGUUCUGCAGGUCCUUAGACAAAGGUUUUCAAAGUCGGGCAUUGAAGAAAAGAAUAGUCGGAAAUCCUAGGACAAAUGGUAUUGUCAAUACUUCAUCCUCUACGACCUGAUUGAAUUUGCCUCAGUACAAAUGAAUUAACCUUUAUGAGGAAUACAGUUGUUGAAGGCCUCAUUACAGUCCACAAAGGUUCUUAAUUAUGUUUUCUAAAAAGGAGAGGGGCUUACUCCAGUUCUAAUGUCGUAAAGGGAGAUUCAUGAUAUGAUUUAAAGGGAGAACUUUGAAGUCUCCUAUGUAAUAUAGAUCUUAUUAACGAUGUGCUAAACUAUGGGAACAUAUAUGAACAACAUUACAGUAGUCCGCACAGAGAGGAAAUGGGGUCAUCCAGUGUUAAUUUCUCUCUUUUUUUUUCAUUGGUGGUGUUAUUUUUCUAAAUGUAUCUGAGAAGAAUUGUUUGACUAUUGUUCAACUCUGUUCAUAUUGCCUUGAAGGCAUUUCUGCAUAUGAUAUAUAGCAAGUUAAAGUAGACUCA